rnacentral:rRNA from 1 species
UACGGAGGGAGCUAGCGUUGUUCGGAAUUACUGGGCGUAAAGCGCACGUAGGCGGCUUUUUAAGUCAGGGGUGAAAUCCCGCAGCUCAACUGCGGAACUGCCUUUGAUACUGGGUAUCUUGAGUAUGGAAGAGGUGAGUGGAAUUCCGAGUGUAGAGGUGAAAUUCGUAGAUAUUCGGAGGAACACCAGUGGCGAAGGCGGCUCACUGGUCCAUUACUGACGCUGAGGUGCGAAAGCGUGGGGAGCAAACAGG